AUCCUCCACCAAUGCUGUUCUGAUACUGCUAUCCACUUCCUGUCCUGGUAUGAAACACUGGAAAUGCCAGAAAAAGUCAGUUCAGCCUGUCACAGACUGAGGUGGGUCACCACUAAAGCUAAUGUUUGGCUGAGCAGGCUUUUCAUGGGUCGUCAAACCAGCACAGGAAGUGGAGAGCAGCGGGGACCACAGCAGUGGUGGGGAUCAGGGGAGAUAAGUAUAGCUUCUUUGUUAUUUCUGACAGUUUAUGAUUUUUUUUUUUAAACUCCUUAAAUGGAGUCUGUCACAAGGAAAUUCACGUUCAGCCAAGCAUUAUAUCUUGUGCAAUCCAUUGCUUCAUUCUGGAGAAAAAGUACCUGCCCCUGUAAACCAAGAAGGAGAGGGAGAGUCCGGCAGAGAAAGUAAAAGGACCAAGGGUGCACAGAGUUACUAAGCAGUUAAGCGUCAGUCUCUGUUUACUCGGUUUCAUACCAUAUACCACUGAAGCCAGUGCAUGGCUGCAUCGGUCACAUGGUUAUGCAGGCACAUCAGGGAAUGAUGGGGAGGAACAUAGCAGCCACACUGUAACAGCAGGGGAAUAAAUGGAAAUGAAUACCCUAGUUUAUUCCAGGAAAUCUGUCAGUAGAUUGGAGACCACCAACCUGCUGAUACUGCUUAAAAGGUCAGAUGGAGUCAAAUACAAUCAUCCCUCUGUUGCUGAUCAUACCCCAAGACUAAAGGAGAAAUGCCAAUGAGAAGGAAGCAAUGUCAAGAUCACAACAAUACUUAGGCCUGAAGCCUAUCAGAGGCCAGUGCAGUCGGAGCGAUGACGUCAUCGUACUAUCUUCUAAGCACCUCUUAUAAUGUCAUCUGAUAUAAGUUACAUUAUGUCCUCCAGAAAUAUACAUAAAAAAAUAUGUUAAAUGUAAUGGUUCAUGUAUUUAUCCUGGUUAUCAGCAGGUGGCAACAUCAUUGGCAGAGAUAGUUUUAAUGUUAUGGCACUUCAGAGUGGAACAUUCCUGUUCUAUUCUGCCCCCCUUCUGGAGAGAGGUGGGCGAGUCCCUCUUUCUGCAGCAGGGGAGGGAAGAAACAGAACUAGAUAUAGUUUACCCCCUGUUGGGGAAAGGAGGGUUUCGAGUGGUACUCUCUCCUUAGGGAAGAAAGUAGGGGCAAGUCUCCGCAAGAGAUGUGGCCAUAUACCCAGUCUGAGCACCUUCAGCUCUGCUGGAUGAAGAAGCAGAAACUACAGCCAAACUCCAGAGUUCCAGGAAGAAAGCAUCCCCUGAGAAUCCAUCUGUGAGAUGAGUCAAGAG